rnacentral:lncRNA from 1 species
UUGAUUCUAGGGUAUUUUGAGGAGUAUAGAUUUAUGAUUUAGCUGUUUGACUGACGAUUCUCUCUGUUGUGUGCCCCUUUUUUCUAGGAUUUCAAGCGCUGCUUCGCCGCUGGGAAAUCAAUUAUCCUAUUAAAUCUAUCUUUCUCGCCGGAGCUGGUAAUCUCUCUAACCUCUCUUCGUUUUUUAAUUCAAUUUACUUUAAUUACGUUUAAUU